UAUAAGUUAAUAUAGACAUGUGUAUAAAUAAUCUUUAUUUUUCUCAAAGCUUUUGUGAUGUUUGUUUUAUAUAGAUAUUAUAAUAUAGAUCUUUUUUUUUUUAAUAUGGUGAUCUACAGGUUCUGUUGGAGCACAACAAUGGGCCAGUUUCUGGGUGUUAACUGUGUGUCUUGAGAAGAUGAAGCAAUUAUUAGGACCCAAGUUUUGAAGAACCCCUAGGAGAAGCAGUUGAUGAGUUGAUAAGUGUGUUGCUGUUUGCUGAUAGAAGACUAUUGAGCUACUUCACCACUAAGAACAAGUUUGUGAUUGUAACCUUUGAGUAAUGCCUGAAGUCCAGUUCAGCUGUAGAUUAUGUAGUCAAAUAUUUUUUUUUUAAAUAUUGUUAAUUAUUGAUUACCUUAUUGAAACAAUUAUCAUUAUUCUUUACCAAACUAAUUUCUAUUAUAAUUUUUUUGUUUGUUCUAUUCUAUAUAAAUAAUCACUAUACGUUAUGUUCAUGGAAACACCCCUGGGUGUCAAUUAUUACUAGAAUAAUUUGCUUCUAUGUUCCUGUCAAUCAUUAGCCUUCAUUAAUAUGUGAACAGUUUCUAUUUCUUAGACUGUAGCUACUUCUGUUUAGUCCUAGAUUUAUAGUAAGAUAAAUGUUAUUUAAAAAACAAAAUGUGGUUAAGAUUUUACAUUUGCAAUGAGAUUACUCUUCACAACUCCUGAACCAGGUUAAUUCAAGUACAGACAACUCUUUGCAAUGAGAUUACUCUUCAUAACUCAAUUAGGUUAAUUCAAGCACAGACAACUCUUUCAAUUUAGAAAAGAGCAGUUGUAACUUACUUUCCAGAGAAGGAACGACUGCAAUAAGGACAAAUAAAUCCUUUAGGCUGGUGAGAUUUCAAAUGGGACUUCAUUGCUUGGAUCACACAGGAGGAAAAGUCACAUGUCUUACA